AUGAACGCUGGCGGCGUGCUUAACACAUGCAAGUCGAACGAUGAAGCCCAGCUUGCUGGGUGGAUUAGUGGCGAACGGGUGAGUAACACGUGAGUAACCUGCCCUUAACUCUGGGAUAAGCCUGGGAAACUGGGUCUAAUACCGGAUAGGAGCGCCUACCGCAUGGUGGGUGUUGGAAAGAUUUAUCGGUUUUGGAUGGACUCGCGGCCUAUCAGCUUGUUGGUGAGGCAAUGGCUCACCAAGGCGACGACGGGUAGCCGGCCUGAGAGGGUGACCGGCCACACUGGGACUGAGACACGGCCCAGACUCCUACGGGAGGCAGCAGUGGGGAAUAUUGCACAAUGGGCGAAAGCCUGAUGCAGCGACGCCGCGUGAGGGAUGACGGCCUUCGGGUUGUAAACCUCUUUCAGUAGGGAAGAAGCGAAAGUGACGGUACCUGCAGAAGAAGCACCGGCUAACUACGUG
rnacentral:rRNA from 1 species